AAAAGCUGUAGCAACCAGGAAUGAAGACAGGAAUUAGACUGAAAAGUGAAGCAGCUUUAAUAUUCAGACAUUAUAUUCCAACAGGAGUCAAUAACCAGCAAUGAUGACUGUGGACUAAGACAGGUGCUACCUACUACGUAUAUGGUGCUUGCUUUUCUUUCCAACAUACCUUGAUUAUAACAAUAGAACCUAAAAUGAAUUUUUAAUGAUAACCAAAUAUAUAAUGUUCCGAAAUUGCAUGAAUAAUAAGGUUCUAGCAAACAUUUUUUUUCUGGGAAACAUUUGCAUAUGCUAUUUCUCCUCAGCAGUAAGACGAGAGACACUCAAACUUUGGGAAUAGAGUAAGUGGUCAUGUAAAAUGAUCAUAGACAGUCAACAUAGAUCUUAGUGGGGUAGUCCUGAGGGCCAACUGAAGGAAAUAAGAUAGCAAUUCACUGGCUGGGGAUGCAUUUUAUGAAGGCGUAAUAGAAUGUUCUGAUAUUUUAGUUCACUUCAAAUGAACUGAGAUUUCUUCUGCGGUACCUACUGUUGUAGGGCUAGGUGAUAUAAUAUAUAUCGUCAUCAAUAUUAUCGUCAACGUUGCCUUCUUGAUGUGCAAUUUACAUUAUCGAGUUCUACUUUGAAAAGAUGAAUAAGUUCAUUGAUCGGACGUGAAGUAGAAGAACUGAUGAAAUCUUGAUUCGGCCAAUCAGCGGGUAGGAUUCAGCCAUGUGACUCUGAUGGCAGUCCAGCCGAGGAAAUGCAACAAUGUUUCAAUUAUGGAGGUGUCCCAUCACAGCGGGUAAUUUAAUAGAAAGGCGCAAGUCCAUGUCCCAGGCCUGGAUAUACGUAGAUUGUAGGUUGACAAGACUAACGUCCCUCGGAAUAAUAUUGUUUCUGUCGGUCCUCUGUACAUGGGUGGUGUACAGUGAGACCCCCAUUUACUGUUCAAAGUAACUGGUGUCUGGCAUGUGUUAAUUAUUUCCAUUGGGCUUUGGAACAGCGCUUAGUGAUCCUUGCAACAAAUGACCAACUUAUUGUCUGUUUGGACACUGAAACUGAUGUUUGGGUGAGACUUACCAGGUGGGGGAAGCAACAGGAGUUAUAUAGUGAGUGUCCUACCUCCGGGCUGAAUCGAAGUUGUUCUUCACAAAAUCAUUGAAAGGCCUCAUGUGUUCUUCCUUUGUAAAUAAGACAUGGUUGGCAAUGCUCUGCAAAAUCUUAAGGAAAAGACCAGAUUUACAAUUAUGACAACCAUU